rnacentral:lncRNA from 1 species
AUGCCUUGUCUUCAGCUUGACCGUUGACGUACAUCACAUCACAGAAAUACAACCAGAUGUAAAAUAAAAAUAAUAAUAAAUUACAUCUUCUUUUAGGAGGCACGCAGGCCUCUCAAAACAUCAAAUAAGAUGCAUGCAAGCAUUUGAAAAAUUACAUGACAUUGCAGAUCACAUCGCAGGUCUUUACAUUUAAUACCAAAAGGGUUUGAAUCCUAUGAUCAUCACCACAUGCAUCAAUUAUAAUUUUCAGAUCUGAAAACUAACUGAUUAUCUCAUGACAUAGGUUGCUGAUCAUGCUAAUCAUGAUUCUAAACUUUGUAAUCUCAUUAACAAUGCAAUUAGAAUCAUCAUCUUAUCAUAUAAAAAUCAGCAUGCAAAAAUCAGCAUCCUAGAAAAAAAA